GAAAGCUUAGUUAAUCCAUAUAACAUUAAUUUGUCAAAUUAAAAUAAUCAGUAGUGAUAACUUUCU
rnacentral:tRNA from 1 species